GAUGAACGCUGGCGGCGUGCCUAAUACAUGCAAGUCGAGCGAACAGAUGAGGAUCUUGCUCCUCUGACGUUAGCGGCGGACGGGUGAGUAACACGUGGAUAACCUACCUAUAAGACUGGGAUAACUUCGGGAAACCGGAGCUAAUACCGGAUAAUAUAUUGAACCGCAUGGUUCAAUAGUGAAAGACGGUUUUGCUGUCACUUAUAGAUGGAUCCGCGCCGCAUUAGCUAGUUGGUAAGGUAACGGCUUACCAAGGCAACGAUGCGUAGCCGACCUGAGAGGGUGAUCGGCCACACUGGAACUGAGACACGGUCAAGACUCCUACGGGAGGCAGCAGUAGGGAAUCUUCCGCAAUGGGCGAAAGCUUGACGGAGCAACGCCGCGUGAGUGAUGAAGGUCUUCGGAUCGUAAAACUCUGUUAUUAGGGAAGAACAAAUGUGUAAGUAACUAUGCACGUCUUGACGGUACCUAAUCAGAAAGCCACGGCUAACUACGUG
rnacentral:rRNA from 1 species